rnacentral:rRNA from 1 species
UACGUAGGGCGCAAGCGUUGUCCGGAAUUAUUGGGCGUAAAGAGCUCGUAGGUGGUCUGUUGCGUCCGCUGUGAAAACCCAGGGCUUAACCCUGGGCUGGCAGUGGAUACGGGCAGACUAGAGGUAGGUAGGGGAGAAUGGAAUUCCCGGUGUAGCGGUGAAAUGCGCAGAUAUCAGGAGGAACACCGGUGGCGAAGGCGGGUCCCUGGGCCGAUACUGACGCUGAGGAGCGAAAGCGUGGGGAGCGAACAGG